GAUGGGCUGGCAAAAUCUGCACCACUCACCCACUCCCCAUUCCCAUCUGCCCCAUCAGGACCAGCUACUAUCUCCACACAUGCCCCUCAUCUCUCUCCAUUUGGCCCCCUCCCCAUGAAAAUCCACUCACGUUCACAACAUGGGACCCCUCUGAAAUAGACCCCAACCCCACCUCCACGUCUACUAUUAUUUAGGUUGAAUGAAUUAAAAAUGGUAGGGAAAUUAUAUUACAUACGCGGAGAGGUCGACAGUCACAAAACGACACCCUCAUCUCCCUACCAGGGCAGGUCUCUGUGCUAAUUUUUUGAAUUACAAACGCGGAUAGUUUGAGAGGGGGAGCCUCCGGGUUAAGAUUUGGGGCAGACAAGAGGGGGACAUCCCCACGAUCUGCUAUUUUCUCACGCUUUCUCAUCCACACCAGCCAAUCAUGCCAUCAGGUGCAAAGAAGAGAAAAGCUGCUAAGAAAAAGAGGGAAAAGGAUGCCCAUAAAAACUCUGGUAGUAACGCACAAGGGAAUGGUGAUUUGAAAAAUCAAGAUGACAAGGACAGUGAUGGGGCGGAAGUUAGUUCUCCGACAUCUCAGGACCAAAAUCCAUUCGUUGACAGAGAGGAGGAGGUGGAGGACGAGGAAAAGAGGGAUGCUCAAUCUGUUCAAUCAUUCGAUGAUGAGAGCAAAUCCGCCGAGCAAACCCCUGAUGAUGGGAAGGCUACCCAGGAAGCAGAAGGAGAGGGUGUUGUUGAAAUUGUGAGAGAAUUAAAAUCUGAAGAGGUUUCUGAGAGCCAAAAGGUCAGUAUUGAGUAUGUUGAAUCUACCAAGGUGUCAGGUGAGGGAGGCUCUUCUGAGGACAGUGGGAGUUCUAGCAGCAGUAGUUCAGAUGAUGAGUCUCAAGUCACUAAGAAGAGUUCUGAAGUUGUGGGGUCAGGGAACUUGAAGGUGGAAACAUAUAAUUCGGUUUCAGAAACUGCCCCUGUUGAUGAUUUGGUUAAGCCAGAUUUUACUUUGUCUGAAGGGGUAUCUUGUGAUACCAAGAGUGCACCAGUAGAUGAGGUUUAUAAUUCAGUUGUGGAGACCGCUUCUGUUGUUGAUUCAGUCAAGCCAGAAGUUUCUUCUUCUGAAGUGGUGAAUUUGGUUUUGGAAACUACCCCUGUUGGUGAUUCAGUUAAGCCAUAUGCUUCUUUGUCUGAAGAGGUGACUUCUGAUGCCAAAGGUGUGCCAGGUGAGGAGGCUUAUAAGUCUGCUGUGGAGACUGCUUCCGUUGUUGAUUUAGUUAAGCCAGAAAUGUCUGUGUCUGGAGAGGUGAUUUGUGUUACUGAUAGUGCUCCACUUGGGAAUUCAGUGGCUGCUGAUGUGGUUGAAUUAGGAUUGAAGGAAAAUGAAGAGAAAAAGUUGCCUGCAUCAAGUGGAAGUCCUGAUGUUUCACCAGUUAUGGUGGAUUUGGCAUCAAAGAAGACUGAGGAUAAAGUUUUUCCCUUACCAGAUGAGGGUGCAGGGCUAUCCUCCACUCUUGUAGGUUCUGAGGUGCUAGAAAAUGAGGAUGAACCAUUGCCAUCGUCAGAUGCUCCUAGUUUUGAAACUAGUAAUGGUGCGGAACAUGUUAAAAAUUCUGAAGUUCCUGAAUGCUCUGAAAAGCAGCCUCCGGCACCUUCUGCUCCACGAGCAGUGCAUAAGACUUCCUGGAUGGGUUGCUGUGGGCUGUUCGAUGUGCUAACAGGAUCCAGUAGAUAAUUUCAGGUGAGUAUAAUUUUAUGAAUGUCAAAAUGGAUAUACCUAACCAGGUAUUUGUAUUUAUUUUUAUAACCUUGUGAAACUUUUAUGUAUUCUAUGGUGUUUAAUUUAAGACUGGGAUAUAUUUGUUUAAGAUUAGCUUUUGGUAUAAAAAAUAAAAAAUAAAACUUUGGAUUUGCAAUUUGUGAUGAGAUGUUGCUGUUGGUAUGUAUUAAAGAUACCAAGAGUUUGUGCAUCAAGAACAAAGUUAGGUAAGCUUUCCCCUAGCAGCCAACCCCUCUCUGCCCUACUCCCCUAGAAGGGCAUAGGCUAUGUAUAUCUUUGCAUACCUUUGAACUAUAUUGGUAUGAUCGUGGCAUUAUAGCAUGAUUUUAUCUUGCUACCAAUAUAGUACUGCUGCAUACAUUAAAAUUUGCUCUUGAUGGUUGCAUAUAUGGUCAAGUGCAUGUAUGGAAAAAUAAAGAUGUAGGUAAAUUAACUUUAUGGCUAGCCACUAAUAGGAUGUUUCUUUUUCCUGUAAAUAUGGCAUCAUCUAAGCAUACUGGAUAUCAAUUGCAAUAAAUUGUACUUGCAUGGGUCAUAUACUUAAUGGGAUUUCUCCAAAGAAGGACUCAUAGAGUUUCUCCUUAAGCACCCUAGCAGGGAGGAAUAUUUCUGCUCUCAUCAUACUCUAGCACAGAAUCCUAGCAUGUUGUAUAGAUGAGGUGUCAAAACUGAUGACCAGAAACAUGAUGGCAAAUGUUUCUCAUGAUAGAUAUGUUUUUAUUUCCUGAUCACACAUUUGCUUACACAGUCCUGUAGAAUGUAAUACUUCAUUCAUUUGAAUCAUUAUUUUAUCUCCUUAUAACAUUAGCUGAACAAGUUGCAGGGAUAUCAUAUUGAAUAAAUUCCUUAGUAUCAUUUCAGAUAAUGUUUUAUACUAUUUAUGAGCAUAUAAUAUUCCAAUUUUAAAUGUUCUGAUACGGCACCCUACUUCUUAUUCAGAAACUUUAUGUCAUCGUCUGGAUGCUCUUACUGAUUGUAAGGAAUGCCAUUUGUUUGAUAAUACAAAUAAUUAUCAUAUUAUUUUCAGAUGGCCAAUUAAUUCUAGUUGGUAGAUGUGUUCUUACUUCUUACUAACGGAAAGUGUUAAUUUUCUCAGUUAUAUUUAAGCUGUGAGAUUGAUUUCUUUCUUUCUUUACUUUAUAAUUUUUCAUGGAUUUGUUGUAUUAAAGAUUCUGAUGAUUAAACUUAACUCAUGUUUCCACAUUUUUAUCUUUUAGCUAGAUGGUGAUUUUUCUCAAAGACAUUUUCUAUGUUUUUUUUUUUUUUUUUAAACCUCCUAAAAGAAUCUCUUACAGAGAGGGGUGUUCAAAGAGCAAAGGAGUUAGGCUGAUACUUGUUGUGAGAAUCAAACUAAUAAUCAAUUGAUACAUGGGCAUUUACCCCUUUAUGUGUCUGCUCUAGUAAUCCUACCCUCUGAAAUUGAAUCCAUGAGAAUCAAACUAAUAAUCAAUUGAUACAUGGGCAUUUACCCCUUUAUGUAUGUGCUCUAGUAAUCCUACCCUCUGAAAUUGAAUCCGUGAGAAUCGAACUAAUAACCAAUUGAUGCAUGGGCAUUUACCCACUUACGUAUCUGCUCUAGUAAUCCUACCCUCUGAAUUGAAUCCAUUGAAGUAUCUACUCGGUGUGGCACUGUAGAAUGUUUAAAGCAGAUGUCAAAGUCUGGAUUUUUGUAAUGAUAUGAUUUUCCCUCAUCUAUUGUUGAAGUUCUCGUCCUUUUUCUGUCUUCUUAAUAUUUGGAGCCUAAGAAAUGAAAGUUCCAAGCAAAACUUGCUGUACCUGCCAUGCUGGUUCAUUGGGAAAACCCACAAUUUGCUGUGGUGUAUCAGUCAGAAGCCUCUCCAUUUUGGGCUAGUUUGCAAGUUUGCAUUCAUCUAGUCCAUUGGGGUUCCUUACUGCAGUUUUAUCAGUUUUUUAAUUUGAAUGGGUUGGAAAGCUGUUAGAAUUUUCCACCCUCAAGAAUAUAUUAAAUUUAGUUGCCAAGACUCUUCCUCAAAGAUGGUGGGUCAUGAUCGGGAGAAGCAUCCAGGUUGGAGUGGCAGGCAGAUUCCAUUUCCAGCUUCAUCUGGCCUCUUCCAAGCUAAACAGAGCAUGAGGGGGGCUUCAGUGGACCAGUGAGCUUGUGAAGUAUUUUGAAUAAGAAUCAUUUCAAGUAUUUCUCUUUGAAGAAUAAUGGGCCAGAGGUCUGACUAGAUGAACAAUUACGGCUCUGCAGUAGUUUUAGUAUGAUGAUUGGUAGGCAGCUCAAUGCCCCUCACUUUGGCAACAAUUUUUCCUUGUUACUUCUGUGGUGGGUGGUUCUUUUUUAUCAUUGUUACCAAAUUUUAUGAAUGUGUAUUGACCUCUCUGCUCGAGGUAUAUCAUCUUGUGUAGGGAAGUUGCAUAGCCUAGAACUUACUAGUUUGGAUAUGAGUUUACUGUUUUACUUGAAUGUCGUUCAGCCUCCUGGUGUUACCAGUUGGACUGUCCUUUCUUUGAACUUGAGAUUCUUGUGGUUAGAGUACAAAAUAAUUUAGGACACUCAGAAAAA